rnacentral:precursor_RNA from 14 species
UUUUUACCAAAAAUUUGGAAAGUUCCUUUCAGCCACUUCGGUUGUGGUUAUACAAACAGAAGUUGAUAUAACCCAAUCACGAAAAUGGCUGAUGGUGAUGUGUGUUGUUCAUAUUCAUGGUA